GACGAACGCUGGCGGCGUGCUUAACACAUGCAAGUCGAACGCUGAAGACCUGGCUUUUGUUGGGUUGGAUGAGUGGCGAACGGGUGAGUAACACGUGAGUAACCUGCCCUCUUCUUUGGGAUAACGCCCGGAAACGGGUGCUAAUACUGGAUAUUCACUGAUCUUCGCAUGGGGGUUGGUGGAAAGGUUUGUUCUGGUGGGGGAUGGGCUCGCGGCCUAUCAGCUUGUUGGUGGGGUGAUGGCCUACCCAGGCUUUGACGGGUAGCCGGCCUGAGAGGGUGACCGGUAACAUUGGGAAUGGGAUACGGCCCAGACUCCUACGGGAGGCAGCAGUGGGGAAUAGUGCACAAGGGGCGAAAGCCUGAUGCAGCGACGCCGCGUGAGGGAUGGAGGCCUUCGGGUUGUAAACCUCUUUCGCUCAUGGUCAAGCCGCAACUGUGGGUUGUGGUGAGGGUAGUGGGUAAAGAAGCGCCGGCUAACUACGUG
rnacentral:rRNA from 1 species